CCAACGGCCCUCUUUAGGGCCACAAAUGUGCUCGAAUAUGCUUGA
rfam:Ancylostoma ceylanicum strain HY135 Acey_s0143_scaf, whole genome shotgun sequence.